rnacentral:rRNA from 1 species
AGUGAACGCUGGCGGUAGGCCUAACACAUGCAAGUCGAACGGCAGCACAGUAAGAGCUUGCUCUUACGGGUGGCGAGUGGCGGACGGGUGAGGAAUACAUCGGAAUCUACUUUUUCGUGGGGGAUAACGUAGGGAAACUUACGCUAAUACCGCAUACGACCUACGGGUGAAAGCAGGGGAUCUUCGGACCUUGCGCGAUUGAAUGAGCCGAUGUCGGAUUAGCUAGUUGGCGGGGUAAAGGCCCACCAAGGCGACGAUCCGUAGCUGGUCUGAGAGGAUGAUCGGCCACACUGGAACUGAGACACGGUCCAGACUCCUACGGGAGGCAGCAGUGGGGAAUAUUGGACAAUGGGCGCAAGCCUGAUCCAGCCAUACCGCGUGGGUGAGGAAGGCCUUCGGGUUGUAAAGCCCUUUUGUUGGGAAAGAAAAGCAGCAGGUUAAUACCCCGCUGUUCUGACGGUACCCAAAGAAUAAGCACCGGCUAACUUCGUG